UACGUAGGGUGCAAGCGUUGUCCGGAAUUAUUGGGCGUAAAGAGCUCGUAGGCGGUGUGUCACGUCGAUCGUGAAAACUUACAGCUUAACUGUGAGCGUGCGGUCGAUACGGGCAUCACUGGAGUUCGGCAGGGGAGACUGGAAUUCCUGGUGUAGCGGUGAAAUGCGCAGAUAUCAGGAGGAACACCGGUGGCGAAGGCGGGUCUCUGGGCCGAUACUGACGCUGAGGAGCGAAAGCGUGGGGAGCGAACAGG
rnacentral:rRNA from 1 species